AAAACUGAGCCGCGCACACAAUAUCUCUGGCCCUCUUCCCGAGGCAGUAAACCUACCGUAUGUCAUUUCAAUUGAUAGAGUCAUUUAAUGAGCUCGCCUCUUUAACACGUUCUACAAUAUAAAAAAAAAAAAGACCGGACAGACACCAUCGCAGUGCCUGGGACUCUUGGUGAUUCCAUUCCGGGUGCUGGCCGACCCGCGACUUUCCCGGGGUGGGGACGCCUGGAUGGGCAGGCGUCGGUGCGAGAAAUAAAUUGAUGAAUUAUCGCAUUACUACUGGGGUCUUCUUUUUACCCCUGGCCCAAAACCAGCCAGCCAUACUCCACAGGGCAGGACUUUAAAAGGCUCUUUACUCCUGAACACCUCAUUGAGCAGUGCAACAGCAGGGGGAAAUGUGCUGUCCCAUGAGGAGCUGAGGUACUGGCAGUGUCACAGGAAACAGCGGGAUGAGAUCCUGGGAUCUGUUAUCUGCCUGAAUUUCAGUGAGCCAAGUGACCUCCUCUCUUUCGCUCUUGAAUUUCUCGGCUUGCUCGGAAGGUCAGGCUGGAGCCGUGCUCUUGUUCAGGAGCCUGACUCCGCUGUGCGCUUCGGAGUGUGUAAGUGCAAGCUGCUGCUGAAAGAGUAGGGGAUCGCCUAGCUCCUCUGCACACGGACUGGCAGGAAUCCCCCCCUCCCCCGAUCAGCACAGCUGGAGUUGAAGUGCUGUGCAGCUCAUGUGAAUUUCAUGAGCCGCUGGGAAUGACAGGGAGAGGGAUGUCUGCAUUUUAACUGUAGCCACUGCAGAGACUGGAGCGGCCCGGCGUGAAUCCGAAAGCAGUUUUUCUCUCGCUGGCUUCAGCUUCCAAUUCUCCGUCUUGCAACACGAGCGAUUGGCAAAGCCGGGCACUUGUCCUGAACCUCCUCUGGCAGGAGGUAUGUGUCGGUGCACUGUGACAACAGCAGAUGCCAGCUGUACCCUGUUUUCCCAUGGUCACGCUGAGCUACAGAUGUAAUCGCCCCCGGGAGGAAAGUUUGAUGAUGAAUUGGAGCAGUGGGGUGACAAAUAAUCAUCUGACAGCAAGGGUCCUGCUCAGCUCUGAUCAGAACAGAUCAUCCCAUCCUUCUCCUCUUCUGGACCUCGACUUUCAUCAGGGGCCCAAGACACAACACAGCAGCCCCCUGGGAGUGGGAAUAAUCAUGAGUCACAAAUGAGGCUUUGGGAUUUUUCCAUUUUUGAUGCCGAUUCUUGCAACGGAAUAUCAGUGUUUUCUGUUGCACCAAAGCAGGUGAUGACAUAACAGGCCUCGGAACACAGCAUUUUAUCAAACGAUAUAGUUCUUCCCAUGAUUGGCUGCUGUCUUAGUUUGGAAACCUCGUGCAACAAGAGCCCGCCCAGAAACAUUGGUCAA